GUCCACGCCGUAAACGUUGGGAACUAGGUGUGGGCCUCAUUCCACGAGGUCUGUGCCGCAGCUAACGCAUUAAGUUCCCCGCCUGGGGAGUACGGCCGCAAGGCUAAAACUCAAAGGAAUUGACGGGGGCCCGCACAAGCUGCGGAGCAUGUGGAUUAAUUCGAUGCAACGCGAAGAACCUUACCAAGGCUUGACAUAUACCGGAAACAUCCAGAGAUGGGUGCCCCGCAAGGUCGGUAUACAGGUGGUGCAUGGUUGUCGU
rnacentral:rRNA from 1 species